rnacentral:rRNA from 1 species
UACAGAGGGUGCAAGCGUUAAUCGGAAUUACUGGGCGUAAAGCGUGCGUAGACGGUUACAUAAGUCGGGUGUGAAAGCCCCGGGCUCAACCUGGGAAUUGCAUUCGAGACUGCGUAGCUAGGGUACGGUAGAGGGAAGCGGAAUUUCCGGUGUAGCGGUGAAAUGCGUAGAUAUCUGGAGGAACACCGGUGGCGAAGGCGGCAUCCUGGACCAACACUGACGCUGAGUGAGCGAAAGCCAGGGGAGCAAACGGG